rnacentral:rRNA from 1 species
GAUGAACGCUGGCGGCGUGCCUAAUACAUGCAAGUCGAGCGAACAGACGAGGAGCUUGCUCUUCUGACGUUAGCGGCGGACGGGUGAGUAACACGUGGAUAACCUACCUAUAAGACUGGGAUAACUUCGGGAAACCGGAGCUAAUACCGGAUAAUAUAUUGAACCGCAUGGUUCAAUAGUGAAAGACGGUUUUGCUGUCACUUAUAGAUGGAUCCGCGCCGCAUUAGCUAGUUGGUAAGGUAACGGCUUACCAAGGCAACGAUGCGUAGCCGACCUGAGAGGGUGAUCGGCCACACUGGAACUGAGACACGGUCCAGACUCCUACGGGAGGCAGCAGUAGGGAAUCUUACGCAAUGGGCGAAAGCAUGACGGAGCAACGCCGCGUGAGUGAUGAAGGUCUUCGGAUCGUAAAACUCUGUUAUUAGGGAAGAACAAAUGUGUAAGUAAAUAUGCACGUCUUGACGGUACCUAAUCAGAAAGCCACGGCUAACUACGUG